rnacentral:rRNA from 1 species
AGUGAACGCUGGCGGUAGGCCUAACACAUGCAAGUCGAACGGCAGCACAGUAAGAGCUUGCUCUUACGGGUGGCGAGUGGCGGACGGGUGAGGAAUACAUCGGAAUCUACUUUUUCGUGGGGGAUAACGUAGGGAAACUUACGCUAAUACCGCAUACGACCUACGGGUGAAAGCAGGGGAUCUUCGGACCUUGCGCGAUUGAAUGAGCCGAUGUCGGAUUAGCUAGUUGGCGGGGUAAAGGCCCACCAAGGCGACGAUCCGUAGCUGGUCUGAGAGGAUGGUCAGCCACACUGGAACUGAGACACGGUCCAGACCCCUACGGGAGGCAGCAGUGGGGAAUAUUGGACAAUGGGCGCAAGCCUGAUCCAGCCAUACCGCGUGGGUGAAGAAGGCCUUCGGGUUGUAAAGCCCUUUUGUUGGGAAAGAAAAGCAGCAGGUUAAUACCCCGCUGUUCUGACGGUACCCAAAGAAUAAGCACCGGCUAACUUCGUG